rnacentral:rRNA from 1 species
GGCAGCUUACACAUGCAAGUCGAGCGGUAACAGAGAUAGCUUGCUAUCUGCUGACGAGCGGCGGACGGGUGAGUAAUGCUUGGGAAUAUGCCUUUGAGUGGGGGACAACAGUUGGAAACGACUGCUAAUACCGCAUAACGUCUACGGACCAAAGGGGGGGAUGCUUCGGCACCUCUCGCUCAUUGAUUAGCCCAAGUGAGAUUAGCUAGUUGGUAAGGUAAUGGCUUACCAAGGCGACGAUCUCUAGCUGGUUUGAGAGGAUGAUCAGCCACACUGGGACUGAGACACGGCCCAGACUCCUACGGGAGGCAGCAGUGGGGAAUAUUGCACAAUGGGCGAAAGCCUGAUGCAGCCAUGCCGCGUGUGUGAAGAAGGCCUUCGGGUUGUAAAGCACUUUCAGCGAGGAGGAAAGGUUAGUAGUUAAUAGCUGCUAGCUGUGACGUUACUCGCAGAAGAAGCACCGGCUAACUUCGUGCCAGCAGCCGCGGUAAUACGAGGGGUGCAAGCGUUAAUCGGAAUUACUGGGCGUAAAGCGUGCGUAGGUGGUUUGUUAAGCAAGAUGUGAAAGCCCCGGGCUCAACCUGGGAACUGCAUUUUGAACUGGCAA